rnacentral:rRNA from 1 species
AGUUUGAACCUGGCUCAGGACGAACGCUGGCGGCGUGCCUAAUACAUGCAAGUCGAGCGAUGAUUAAAGAUAGCUUGCUAUUUUUAUGAAGAGCGGCGAACGGGUGAGUAACGCGUGGGAAAUCUGCCGAGUAGCGGGGGACAACGUUUGGAAACGAACGCUAAUACCGCAUAACAAUGAGAAUCGCAUGAUUCUUAUUUGAAAGAAGCAAUUGCUUCACUACUUGAUGAUCCCGCGUUGUAUUAGCUAGUUGGUAGUGUAAAGGACUACCAAGGCGAUGAUACAUAGCCGACCUGAGAGGGUGAUCGGCCACACUGGGACUGAGACACGGCCCAGACUCCUACGGGAGGCAGCAGUAGGGAAUCUUCGGCAAUGGGGGCAACCCUGACCGAGCAACGCCGCGUGAGUGAAGAAGGUUUUCGGAUCGUAAAACUCUGUUGUUAGAGAAGAACGUUAAGUAGAGUGGAAAAUUACUUAAGUGACGG